rnacentral:tRNA from 1 species
GUCCCCGUAGCUCAGCAGGAUAGAGCACAUGCCUCCUAAGCAUGGGGUCGGACGUUCGAAUCGUCUCGGGGACGCCA